rnacentral:rRNA from 1 species
UACGUAGGGUGCAAGCGUUAAUCGGAAUUACUGGGCGUAAAGCGUGCGCAGGCGGUUUGGUAAGACAGAUGUGAAAUCCCCGGGCUUAACCUGGGAAUUGCAUUUGUGACUGCCCGCUAGAGUGUGUCAGAGGGGGUAGAAUUCACGUGUAGCAGUGAAAUGCGUAGAGAUGUGGAGGAAUACCGAUGGCGAAGGCAGCCCCCUGGGAUAACACUGACGCUCAUGCACGAAAGCGUGGGGAGCAAACAGGAUUAGAACCUACCGAGU